UAACACAUGCAAGUCGACGGUAACAGAUCUAGCUGCUAGAUGCUGACGAGUGGCGAACGGGUGCGUAACGCGUAUGUAUCUACCUUUAACUGAGGAAUAGCCCAGAGAAAUUUGGAUUAAUACCUCAUAGUAUUAUAAAUCGGCAUCGAUUUAUAAUUAAAACUCCGGUGGUUAAAGAUGAACAUGCGUCCUAUUAGCUAGUUGGUGAGGUAACUGCUCACCAAGGCAACGAUAGGUAGGGGGCCUGAGAGGGUGAUCCCCCACACUGGUACUGGGACACGGACCAGACUCCUACGGGAGGCAGCAGUGAGGAAUAUUGCACAAUGGAGGAAACUCUGAUGCAGCCAUGCCGCGUGCAGGAAGAAUGCCCUAUGGGUUGUAAACUGCUUUUCUGUAAGAAGAAAUACUAGUACGUGUACUUGUUUGACGGUACUACAGGAAUAAGCACCGGC
rnacentral:rRNA from 1 species